rnacentral:rRNA from 1 species
GAACUGAAGAGUUUGAUCCUGGCUCAGAUUGAACGCUGGCGGGAUGCUUUACACAUGCAAGUCGGACGGCAGCACGGGCUUCGGCCUGGUGGCGAGUGGCGAACGGGUGAGUAAUGUAUCGGAACGUGCCCAGUAGCGGGGGAUAACUACGCGAAAGCGUGGCUAAUACCGCAUACGCCCUACGGGGGAAAGCGGGGACCUUCGGGCCUCGCACUAUUGGAGCGGCCGAUAUCGGAUUAGCUAGUUGGUGGGGUAACGGCCUACCAAGGCGACGAUCCGUAGCUGGUUUGAGAGGACGACCAGCCACACUGGGACUGAGACACGGCCCAGACUCCUACGGGAGGCAGCAGUGGGGAAUUUUGGACAAUGGGGGCAACCCUGAUCCAGCCAUCCCGCGUGUGCGAUGAAGGCCUUCGGGUUGUAAAGCACUUUUGGCAGGAAAGAAACGGCACGGGCUAAUAUCCUGUGCAACUGACGGUACCUGCAGAAUAAGCACCGGCUAACUACGUGCCAGCAGCCGCGGUAAUACGUAGGGUGCAAGCGUUAAUCGGAAUUACUGGGCGUAAAGCGUGCGCAGGCGGUUCGGAAAGAAAGAUGUGAAAUCCCAGGGCUUAACCUUGGAACUGCAUUUUUAACUACCGGGCUAGAGUGUGUCAGAGGGAGGUGGAAUUCCGCGUGUAGCAGUGAAAUGCGUAGAUAUGCGGAGGAACACCGAUGGCGAAGGCAGCCUCCUGGGAUAACACUGACGCUCAUGCACGAAAGUGUGGGGAGCAAACAGGAUUAGAUACCCUGGUAGUCCACGCCCUAAACGAUGUCAACUAGCUGUUGGGGCCUUCGGGCCUUGGUAGCGCAGCUAACGCGUGAAGUUGACCGCCUGGGGAGUACGGUCGCAAGAUUAAAACUCAAAGGAAUUGACGGGGACCCGCACAAGCGGUGGAUGAUGUGGAUUAAUUCGAUGCAACGCGAAAAACCUUACCUACCCUUGACAUGUCUGGAAUCCCGAAGAGAUUUGGGAGUGCUCGCAAGAGAACCGGAACACAGGUGCUGCAUGGCUGUCGUCAGCUCGUGUCGUGAGAUGUUGGGUUAAGUCCCGCAACGAGCGCAACCCUUGUCAUUAGUUGCUACGAAAGGGCACUCUAAUGAGACUGCCGGUGACAAACCGGAGGAAGGUGGGGAUGACGUCAAGUCCUCAUGGCCCUUAUGGGUAGGGCUUCACACGUCAUACAAUGGUCGGGACAGAGGGUUGCCAACCCGCGAGGGGGAGCCAAUCCCAGAAACCCGGUCGUAGUCCGGAUCGCAGUCUGCAACUCGACUGCGUGAAGUCGGAAUCGCUAGUAAUCGCGGAUCAGCAUGUCGCGGUGAAUACGUUCCCGGGUCUUGUACACACCGCCCGUCACACCAUGGGAGUGGGUUUUACCAGAAGUAGUUAGCCUAACCGCAAGGGGGGCGAUUACCACGGUAGGAUUCAUGACUGGGGUGAAGUCGUAACAAGGUAGCCGUAUCGGAAGGUGCGGCUGGAUCACCUCCUUU